CGCACAUUGCGCCCCCUGGUAUUCCGAGGGGCAUGCCUAUUCGAGCGUCAUUAUCACCCCUCAAGCUUGGCUUGGUGUUGGGGCCUGCCGUGACGGCAGCCCCUAAAAUCAGUGGCGGUGCCGGCUGGCUCUAAGCGCAGUAAAUCUUCUCGCUAUUGGGACACGCCGAACACCCGCCAGAACCCCUCACUUUUUAAUGAUUGACCUCGGAUUAGGUAGGGAUACCCGCUGAACUUAA
rnacentral:misc_RNA from 1 species